rnacentral:rRNA from 1 species
CCUACGUGUGGCAGCAGUGAGGAAUAUUGGUCAAUGGACGAGAGUCUGAACCAGCCAAGUAGCGUGAAGGAUGACUGCCCUAUGGGUUGUAAACUUCUUUUAUAUGGGAAUAAAACAGGGUAUACAUACCCUAUUGUAUGUACCAUAUGAAUAAGGAUCGGCUAACUCCGUGCCAGCAGCCGCGGUAAUACGGAGGAUCCGAGCGUUAUCCGGCUUUAUUGGGUUUAAAGGGAGCGUAGGUGGAUUGUUAAGUCAGUUGUGAAAGUUUGCGGCUCAACCGUAAAAUUGCAGUUGAAACUGGCAGUCUUGAGUACAGUAGAGGUGGGCGGAAUUCGUGGUGUAGCGGUGAAAUGCUUAGAUAUCACGAAGAACUCCGAUUGCGAAGGCAGCUCACUGGACUGCAACUGUCACUGAUGCUCGAAAGUGUGGGUAUCAAACAGGAUUAGAUACCCUUGUAGUC